UUGGAGGGCAAGUCUGGUGCCAGCAGCCGCGGUAAUUCCAGCUCCAAUAGCGUAUAUUAAAGUUGUUGCAGUUAAAAAGCUCGUAGUUGAAUUUCGGGGUCAGUAGGUUGGUCAUGCCACUGGUAUGUACUGGUCUCACUGAUUCCUCCUUCCUGAUGAACUGUAAUGCCAUUAAUUUGGUGUUGCAGGGAAUCUGGACUGUUACUUUGAAAAAAUUAGAGUGUUUAAAGCAGGCUAACGCCUGAAUACAUUAGCAUGGAAUAAUGAAAUAGGACGUUUGAUUCUAUUUUGUUGGUUUCUAGGAUCGACGUAAUGAUUAAUAGGGAUAGUUGGGGGCAUUAGUAUUCAAUUGUCAGAGGUGAAAUUCUUGGAUUUAUUGAAGACUAACUACUGCGAAAGCAUUUGCCAAGGAUGUUUUCAUUAAUCAAGAACGAAAGUUAGGGGAUCGAAGACGAUCAGAUACCGUCGUAGUCUUAACCAUAAACUAUGCCGACUAGGGAUCGGAUGAUGUUAAUUUUUUAAUGACUCAUUCGGCGCCUUACGGGAAAC
rnacentral:rRNA from 1 species